CCCCUAGAUGUUCUGGGCCGCACGCGCGCUACACUGAACAGUUCAACAAGUCUUAACCUUGGCCGAUAGGUCUGGGUAAUCUUUGAACGCUGUUCGUGAUUGGGAUAGACCUUUGCAAUUAUGGGUCUUCAACGAGGAAUUCCUAGUAAACGCAAGUCAUCAGCUUGUAUUGAUUACGUCCCUGCCCUUUGUACACACCGCCCGUCGCACCUACCGAUUGAAUGGUCCGGUGAAAUCUCGGGACGGCGGCUUGGUCGCUUGCGUCCGACUGCUGAAACUUGAUUAAACCAUAUCAUUUAGAGGAAGGUGAANUCGUAGCA
rnacentral:rRNA from 1 species